CAGCCGCCGCGGUAAUACAGAGGGUGCGAGCGUUAAUCGGAUUUACUGGGCGUAAAGCGUGCGUAGGCGGCUUUUUAAGUCGGAUGUGAAAUCCCUGAGCUUAACUUAGGAAUUGCAUUCGAUACUGGGAAGCUAGAGUAUGGUAGAGGAUGGUAGAAUUCCAGGUGUAGCGGUGAAAUGCGUAGAGAUCUGGAGGAAUACCGAUGGCGAAGGCAGCCAUCUGGCCUAAUACUGACGCUGAGGUACGAAAGCAUGGGGAGCAAACAGGAUUAGAUACCCCGGUAGUCCCUGUCUCUUAUAC
rnacentral:rRNA from 1 species